GGAUGUGAGGGCGGUCUGGCUGUGACGUCUGUCACCCCAUUGAUCGCCAGGGUUGAUACGGCUGAUCUAGCUGGCGAGGCGGGUGUCCCCUCCCUCCCUCCCGGUUCCAUGUGCGUCCCUCCCGAAGCUGCGCCCUCGGUCGAAGAGGACGACCACCCCCAGUAGAGGACCGUUUCCUCGGUCAAGGGUAUACGAGUAGCUGCGCUCCCCUGCUAGAACCUCCAAACAAGCUCUCAAUAGAGAGCUGGCUUAAAAUUACCUUAACAUUGUAAAGAUCCUUCAACUAGAG
rnacentral:snRNA from 1 species